GUGUUGUAUGAAAGGAGAGAUGGUUAGCACUCCCCUUGACAAGGAUGGAAGAAGCCCUCGGGCCUGUAUAAUACACGUACCAUUAAGGAAUUGCCACUACUUCCAGGCAACUGACCACCAUUUACA
rnacentral:ncRNA from 1 species